rnacentral:rRNA from 1 species
UAGGGAAUAUUGGACAAUGGGGGCAACCCUGAUCCAGCCACGCCGCGUGAGUGAAGAAGGCCCUCGGGUUGUAAAGCUCUUUUGUCCGGAAAGAAAAGCAUUCGGUGAAUACCCGGAUGUUCUGACGGUACCGGAAGAAUAAGCACCGGCUAACUUCGUGCCAGCAGCCGCGGUAAUACGAAGGGUGCAAGCGUUACUCGGAAUUACUGGGCGUAAAGCGUGCGUAGGUGGUUGUUUAAGUCUGAUGUGAAAGCCCUGGGCUCAACCUGGGAAUGGCAUUGGAAACUGGGCAGCUAGAGUGCGGUAGAGGGUAGUGGAAUUCCCGGUGUAGCAGUGAAAUGCGUAGAGAUCGGGAGGAACAUAUGUGGCGAAGGCGACUGCCUGGACCAGCACUGACACUGAGGCACGAAAGCGUGGGGAGCAAAC